UGCACGUAGAGGGGAACCCAAACAUUUAACAAAAAAAAAAAAAGACUACUUGUCUAAACCAGAUUAUGAACAGUUUAAUUUCUACAAAAUAAUAGCUGCUGCCCAUUUUUCAUAUGAAAUGUGAUGCAUCUUCGGCAUUCAAAGGUAAGAGAGUGAGAUUGUAAUAGUCUGUAUCCAUGGGUAAAUGGAUAUCAGUUACAGAACCCAUCACUCCCCAAUCAUCCACUGGAAUUAAAUUGUAUUGAUCUCCAAUUUGUGAAUCAUUCUCAUCGAUUUUCUUUGCCGAAUGAGCUUCAAUGUUCACAUCUGGCGUGCCAGCCAAAAGGGCCCUCAAUGGGAGACUUGAUAUUCAAGUUUUCCUGAGAAGUGAACUUCACUUCCAGGAUUGGAGCUCCAAAAUCCACUUUAGUAGCAGCCCUUGACAAUUCAACAACAUCCUGCAGAAUGUCUAGGUUAGGCCCUUCAUCUGUGACUUCUAUACAAGUGAUAAUUUCAUUUGAAACAGCAACUUCCUUGAUAGCAUCUGAGCUACUGUCAGUUUGAUUUCCAGAAAAUUGUUCCAAACUAUCAGUUUUACCCAGAGUCGAAAUGUUGCUUGUUCCAUUGCCAACUUCUCCAUUUUGUAUAUCAUCAGUUAUCUGAUAAGAACCAGUCCUUGCAAUAUCAUUUGCAG
rnacentral:misc_RNA from 1 species